rnacentral:rRNA from 1 species
AUGAACUGCUUAGGACUUGUGCUGAGAAGCUGCACUGGCCAUCACACCGGCACAUUGACACAUACACCAAAGAUCUUUGUGAAACGGCUGCGGGAGAACAAUGUGAAUCUAUGGAAGGUUUACAGUAUCUUUGGCAGCCUGUUUGGGCGAAUGAAGAAUGUACCGUUCACGAAGAGGUGCCUUAGAACUUUCUGUGGGAAGCUUAGUAGAGAACACGGGCCUCCAUCCUGCUCCAGUUUUGAAGCUGAAUGA